rnacentral:rRNA from 1 species
GAUGAACGCUGGCGGCGUGCCUAACACAUGCAAGUCGAGCGAACGGACGAGAAGCUCGCUUCUCUGAUGUUAGCGGCUGACGGGUGAGUAACACGUGGAUAACCUACUUAUAUGACUGGGAUAACUUCGGGAAACCGGAUCUACUACCGCAUCAUAUUUUGAACCGCAUGGUUCAAAAGUGCAAGACGGUCUUGCUGUCACUUAUAGAUGGAUCCGCGCUGGAUUAGCUAGUUGGUAAGGUAACGGCUCACCAAGGCGGCGAUGCGUAUCCGACCUGAGAGGAGGAUGAGCGACACUGGAACUGAGACACGGUCCAGACGAACACGGGAGGCAGCAGUGGGGAAUAUUGGACAAGGGGCGCAAGUCUGACCGAGCAAUACCGCGUGGGUGAAGAAGGCCUUCGGGUUGUAAAGACCUUUUGUUGGGAAAGAAAAGAAGCAGGUUAAUACCCCGCUGUCCUGACGGGACCCAAAGAAUAAGCACCGGCUAACUUCGUG